rnacentral:lncRNA from 1 species
AUUAGCUCUCAUUAUUGAGGUAGCAUCCCAGGCCAAUUUUGGUGUACAGCAAUGAGGGCAGCAGCAGGGGACAUUAAGCUGAGUUAGGUAAAAAGGCAAAUCAAGCAACUUCACCUAUAAGUAGACAGCUUUGCUGCUCAGGGCUUCAAGUUGGGCAUUACAGCUCAGAUGCCACAGCAACUGUUUGAAACCACUGUGCUGGCAGCCCGUGGCUCUGCUUUCCAUCAGAGGACACAGACUGCAGUGUCAACAAUAAGGAAAAAAGUGAUUAAAUGAGGAGGAAAAGUGUACGAAACGAUGUCAGAGGUUCUUCACUCCAGUACAGCUGAUGUGACUCAGUUCUACAGAAAGAGCUGUAGCCCAGCUCUUCACCCAGGGAGGGCCUGCAACUCUUCACUGGUCGCAGGUAACAUCUCACAGGUUGCAGCUUAGAUUUUCCCUCAUGGAUUUGUAUGUGCAAUGUAAUACCAGCUUUUCAAAUUGACAAAUGGGUUUUCUACACACUUGCAUUCAAUCUCAACAAAGUACUGGGAAAGGAUUUGAUAAGAAGUAAGAACAGACUUUUCUCAAGACAAUGCAGCUAUAAACAAGAGUCAGGAAAACAGAUUAAUUUAGUGGUCAGAUAAUCUUUGAAAAUCCUUGGAUUGACUAUGGUAUAUAUCUGACUAUGUACUGGCAUUUGAAAAAGAAAAUGGAAAAUUAGAUUUUGGCUACAGUACUUGUUUCCUUCUGUUUUUCUUGUAGUCUAAACACGCAAAUCCAUACAGUGUAGUGGAAAUUUAGCAGUCAUAUUAUGUAGCUAUUAACACCAGAAAACUUUCUAUGACCAUGGUACAGCAUAAAAAAAUAAUCAAAAUCUACCAACACUUCCUCACGGUGGAUCAUAUAUUCUAAAUGUAGCUGGUUCUCUGAUGCCGUGCCUUGAAGCUGUGAAUAAACCCUGAUACUUAAAGACA